rnacentral:rRNA from 1 species
GUGAGGAAUUUUCCGCAAUGGGCGAAAGCCUGACGGAGCAAUGCCGCGUGAAGGAUGAAGGCCUAUGGGUUGUAAACUUCUUUUCUCAGAAAAGAAUUAUGACGGUAUCUGAGGAAUAAGCAUCGGCUAACUCUGUGCCAGCAGCCGCGGUAAGACAGAGGAUGCAAGCGUUAUCCGGAAUGAUUGGGCGUAAAGCGUCUGUAGGUUGUUUAAAAAGUAUUCUGUCAAAGAUUAGGGCUUAACCCUAGAUAGGCAGAAUAAACUUUUAAGCUAGAGUUGAGUAGAGGCAGAGGGAAUUCCCGGUGGAGCGGUGAAAUGCGUAGAUAUCGGGAGGAACACCAAAGGCGAAGGCACUCUGCUGGGCCAAUACUAACACUGAGAGACGAAAGCGAGGGGAGCAAAUGGGAUUAGAUACCCGGGUAGUCC